ensembl:snoRNA SNORA63 Small nucleolar RNA SNORA63
AUGCAGGUACUGUUAAAACUGAAGUGUUUUAUGGUCUUUUCCUCCUGUUUAAAGCAUUUGGUACAUAAGUAUCUCUAACUCCACUCCAUAAUAAGACAGAGACGCUUGGUCCCCAACAU